CUACGGGACGCAGCAGUGAGGAAUAUUGCACAAUGGGGGGAACCCUGAUGCAGCAACGCCGCGUGGAGGAUGACGCAUUUCGGUGUGUAAACUCCUUUUAUAUGUCAAGAAAAUGACGGUAGCAUAUGAAUAAGCACCGGCUAACCCCGUGCCAGCAGCCGCGGUAAUAGGGAGGGUGCAAGCGUUACUCGGAAUCACUGGGCGUAAAGGACGCGUAGGCGGGUUGGAAAGUCAGGUGUGAAAUCCUACAGCUUAACUGUAGAACUGCACUUGAAACUUCUAAUCUAGAGUAUGGGAGGGGGAGAUGGAAUUAGUGGUGUAGGGGUAAAAUCCGUAGAUAUCACUAGGAAUACCUAAAGCGGAGGCGAUCUCCUGGAACAUUACUGACGCUAAGGCGUGAAAGCGUGGGGAGCAAACAGGAUUAGAUACCCCGGUAGGC
rnacentral:rRNA from 1 species